rnacentral:rRNA from 1 species
AUUGAACGCUGGCGGCAUGCUUUACACAUGCAAGUCGAACGGUAACAGGGUGCUUGCACCGCUGACGAGUGGCGAACGGGUGAGUAAUGCGUCGGAACGUGCCGAGUAGUGGGGGAUAACGCAGCGAAAGUUGUGCUAGUACCGCAUACGUACUGAGGUAGAAAGUGGGGGACCUUCGGGCCUCACGCUAUUCGAGCGGCCGACGUCUGAUUAGCUAGUAGGUGAGGUAAAGGCUCACCUAGGCGACGAUCAGUAGCGGGUCUGAGAGGAUGAUCCGCCACACUGGGACUGAGACACAGCCCAGACUCCUACGGGAGGCAGCAGUGGGGAAUUUUGGACAAUGGGCGAAAGCCUGAUCCAGCCAUGCCGCGUGUCUGAAGAAGGCCUUCGGGUUGUAAAGGACUUUUGUCGGGGAGGAAAUCCCCAGCGUUAAUACCGCUGGGGGAUGACAGUACCUGAAGAAUAAGCACCGGCUAACUACGUGCCAGCCGCCGCAGUAA